GUGAGGAAUAUUGCGCAAUGGAGGCAACUCUGACGCAGCCAUGCCGCGUGCAGGAAGAAGGCGCUACGCGUUGUAAACUGCUUUUAACCGGGAAGAAACCCCAGGACGUGUCCUGGGUUGACGGUACCGGAGGAAUAAGCACCGGCUAACUUCGUGCCAGCAGCCGCGGUAAUACGAAGGGUGCAAGCGUUAUCCGGAUUCAUUGGGUUUAAAGGGUGCGUAGGCGGAGCGUUAAGUCAGUGGUGAAAUCCUGCAGAUUAACUGUAGACUUGCCAGUGAUACUGGCGCUCUUGAGUGCGCUUGAAGUGGGCGGAAUGUGCCGUGUAGCGGUGAAAUGCUUAGAUAUGGCACAGAACACCAAUUGCGAAGGCAGCUCACUAAGGCGAUACUGACGCUGAGGCACGAAAGCGUGGGGAUCGAACAGGAUUAGAAACCCUAGUAGUCC
rnacentral:rRNA from 1 species